CUCAGGGAGGUAGUGACAAGAAAUAACAACACUGGAAAUUUUAUUUCUAGUGAUUGGAAUGAUGGGAAUUUAAACCCCUUUCAGAGUAACAAUUGGAGGGCAAGUCUGGUGCCAGCAGCCGCGGUAAUUCCAGCUCCAAUAGCGUAUAUUAAAGUUGUUGCAGUUAAAAAGCUCGUAGUUGGAUGUCUGCUGGAAGCAAUCAGUCCGCCCUAUUUGUAGGGUGUGCACUUGAUGAAUUCUGGCAUCUAUGUCCUAAUGUGAUAGAUACGGCGGUGUAUAUGGGUUAAUCCUAUAUACCCGUUUUUGUAUAUUAUAUUGGGAUAAUACCGUUACUUUGAGAAAAUUAGAGUGUUUGAAGCAGGCUAAUUGCCUUGAAUACUGCAGCAUGGAAUAACAAUAUAGGAUUUCGGUUCUAUCUUGUUGGUUUCUAGGACUGAAAUAAUGAUUAAUAGGGACAGUUGGGGGCAUUCGUAUUUAACUGUCAGAGGUGAAAUUCUUAGAUUUGUUAAAGACGAACUACUGCGAAAGCAUUUGCCAAAGAUGUUUUCAUUAAUCAAGAACGAAAGUUAGGGGCUCGAAGACGAUCAGAUACCGUCGUAGUCUUAACCAUAAACUAUGCCGACUAGAGAUAGGAAAAUGUCAUUUUUCUGACUU
rnacentral:rRNA from 1 species